AGAGUUUGAUCAUGGCUCAGAAUCAACGCUGGCGGCGUGCCUCAGACAUGCAAGUCGAACGAUUAAGACUCUCUUCGGAGAGUGUAUAGAGUGGCGCACGGGUGAGUAACACGUAGGUAAUUUGCCUUCGGGUGGGGAAUAACUUGGGGAAACCCAAGCUAAUACCGCAUAAUGCAGCGGCACCAAAUGGUGACAGUUGUUAAAGCUUUAUGUGCCUGAAGAGAAGCCUGCGGUGGAUUAGGUAGUUGGUAAGGUAAUGGCUUACCAAGCCUGCGAUCCAUAUCCGGUCUUAGAGGACGGUCGGACACACUGACACUGAAUAACGGGUCAGACUCCUACGGGAGGCAGCAGUCGGGAAUUUUGGGCAAUGGGCGAAAGCCUGACCCAGCAACGCCGCGUGAAGGAUGAAGUCCUUCGGGAUGUAAACUUCGGAAGAAUGGGAAGAAUAAAUGACGGUACCAUUUUUAAGCCCCGGCUAACUCCGUGCCAGCAGCCGCGGUAAUACGGAGGGGGCAAGCGUUGUUCGGAUUUACUGGGCGUAAAGGGCGCGUAGGCGGCGUGACAAGUCACUUGUGAAAUCUCCGGGCUUAACUCGGAACUGCCAAGUGAUACUGUCGUGCUAGAGUGCAGAAGGGGCAAUCGGAAUUCUUGGUGUAGCGGUGAAAUGCGUAGAUAUCAAGAGGAACACCAGAGGCGAAGGCGGAUUGCUGGGCUGACACUGACGCUGAGGCGCGAAAGCUAGGGUAGCAAACGGGAUUAGAUACCCCCGUAGUCC
rnacentral:rRNA from 1 species